GGGGAAUAUUGGACAAUGGGCGAAAGUCUGAUCCAGCGACGCCGCGUGGGGGAAGAAGUCCUUCGGGGUGUAAACUCAUGAAGCUGACGAAUAAGACGGAAGGGGAACCUUCCGGGACAAGGUAAUUAGUGAAAAGCCCCGGCUAACUACGUGCCAGCAGCCGCGGUAAUACGUAGGGGGCGAGCGUUGCCCGGAAUUACUGGGCGUAAAGGGAACGUAGGUGGCUCUUAAAGUCAGGUGUGAAAAUAACGAAGCUUAACAGGUUAAUGCGCUUGAAACUAAAGGGCUUGAGGGCAAUAGAGGGAGAUGGAAUUACCGGUGUAGGGGUGAUAUCCGCAGUUAUAGGUAAGAAGGCCGGUGGGGAAGCCGAUCUCCUGGGUUGACUCUGACACUGAGGUUCGAAAGCUAGGGGAGCAAAGC
rnacentral:rRNA from 1 species